rnacentral:rRNA from 1 species
GACGAAGGAUGCAAGCGUUAUCCGGAUUCAUUGGGUUUAAAGGGAGCGUAGGCGGCCUUGUAAGUCAGUGGUGAAAUCUCGCAGCUUAAUUGCGAAACUGCCAUUGAUACUGCUUGGCUAGAGUAUAGAUGCUGUGGGCGGAAUAUGACAUGUAGUGGUGAAAUACAUAGAGAUGUCAUAGAACACCGAUUGCGAAGGCAGCUCACAAAACUAUAACUGACGCUGAGGCUCGAAAGUGUGGGGAUCAAACAGG